CAUGCUUUGUCUGAUACAACCUUCAAGAAUCUAAGUAAAUGAUCAAUGUUUUCAUGCAUAUGGAAGAGGUUCUGCCCCUUGGAAGCUUCAAAACAUUGGCCAACACCUAUCACAUAUAAUGAACUUGUUUUCAUUUCCACUAUGAGAACGACAUAGCAGGACCUCCCUAGUCACCUCUGUAUUGAUGUCACUGCUGUGGUAUCAAACUCAUCAGCAGGAGAUUAAAUAAUAUUUAUUUGCUGUGAAGUCUGGAAUAUUUUUUUACUGGGAUGUGAGAGGGUGGCCCAAAUUCUUUAUGAUCCCAAUGGUCCUCAAACAGCAACAUCUUCACUUUUGGUAUCAUUCCUGUUCAUCAGGAUUUUGAUAACGAAACAGAGAGUGAUCAUUUCGCUAAACUGGAAGUGCAAAUUACUCCCAUAGCAUCUACAGCACUUGCAUUCAGUCAGAAAACUGUGAAUGUCGUUUAAAGACACUUGUUCCCCGUUCUCCUGGACUACAGAUUCAAUACCAUUCAGGAAAAUUGGAUCUUCUGAAGAUCUCCAUUGCUUCUUAGUGUGGAUAAAUUCACCAGGUUUUGAUUUUGUUGUAGAUGUGGUGGAGUUGUAGGAGCCAGUCAUUUUCAAGACAACUUCAAAAGACCAUGUGGUUCAUGAGGGGGAGGAAAGCAUUGUAUCCGCAACCACUAUCUGUCUGACUGCUCUUGAAAACAUUAUUGCUGAGUGUCUUUCUCUUGAAGAAGUAGGUUAGUGGUUUUCAAUUUACCUUCUCUGCUAGGCAGUUGGAAAAAGCAUACUGGAAGAGAAUGCUAAUAUCUUUUCUGUCUAGAUGUGAAAUGUUUUAAUUAAAAUAAGGUAGAGUAUAUGUUGCUGAAGGAUGUUUGAGAAAAGCUUUUUUUCCUUUCAGAUUGUUGAAAAAUUUGGGAAAGAAAUAGUAUUAUACAUCCCAAUAAAACCUACUGUCAGCAGGUGCAAACACUAAUGUCCUUCCCAAAUAAUUUUUUUUUUUUCUAAUAGAGCAGAACCGAGUUUCAUUUCUAAUAAAUGUAGAAGAAAAAUUGGAAGGAUGAGAAUGUCAGGGCAACAAAUCACUCUGUUAUGGCUGGAAGAAAAAAUACAAGCUCUUUGUAGUUACACAUGCAAGCAUUCAGUGAGAGAGAUGGGCAGAUAACAAUAUGAUAGAGUAAAAAGACAGAAGUAAAUGGGUAAAGUAAGAAUUGGGAUAGGACCAGCUGAAUAGUUUAAUGAAAGACUUAUUACCUCUAUUAAGAAGAUGUAAAGUUCAGACUUGGGGAGGAAGCCAAAUCACUCAGUAAGAAGUGCUACAACAGCAGAAUGAAGUGGUGGCCUUUUAAAUGGAAAUUUCCAUUAGGCAGAUGGGAUAUCAUAUUUAAACAUAAAUACUCUCAAACCUAUCUUGAAAAAAAUUGUGUAAAGAAGGGAAAAUUGGUAGAGAUAUGUUUUCUGGAAAUAUAAAGAUAAUGGGGCAUAUGUGCCUUUUUUGU